CUCCGAGUGGUGGGGACGUUUAUUGGGCCUAAAGCAUCCGUAGCUGGCCGUUCAAGUCCCCUGUUAAACCCAGCGAUUUAAUCGUUGGUCUGCGGGGGAUACUGUUCGGCUAGGGGGCGGGAGAGGCAGACGGUAUUUCCGGGGUAGGGGUGAAAUCCUAUAAUCCCGGGAAGACCACCAGUGGCGAAGGCUGUCUGCUAGAACGCGCCCGACGGUGAGGGAUGAAAGCUGGGGGAGCGAACCG
rnacentral:rRNA from 1 species